CUUGCUAAGCUGAAUUCGGGAUGUGCCAGGAAGAGCCCCAGGAAGGGCCUUUUGAGAGGGGCAAGGCACGGCCCAUGUUUGGACUGCAGGCACUUUGGGAGCCAGGGCACAGGCUGGGACCAGGGGGGCUGAGGAGCCAUCAGGAGCAGGGCCCUGACCCAUGCAGCGGAAUCUCAGCACUUCCAGCGUCCACUAGUAGCCAGAUUCCCUGGGGACGAGGGCAGCAGAGGUGCCCUUCCCAUGUCACAGAGGCAGGAACCAGGGCUCAGCCUAGAGUGGCACCAUCAGAGUCCACUGUGACCAGGGUCCUGCCCCUGCCCACGGUACCAGCCACCCUCUCCCAGGACCCCUUGAGGAAUCUGCCCCCAGGUCAAAAUGAAGUUCCCCUUCUGUGUUGUCUUGUGGGGCUGGAGGAGGGCGGGACAGCUUCCCUGGUGGGGUCUGGUCCGAGGAGGGUGGGGUGGGUGGUGUCGAAGGCAGAAGCUGCAUGGCCUCACCUCUCGGAUUAUGUUCAAGGGUUCCUGGUGCCCUGCAUGGAGCACAUAAUGACGGAAGAUUGGCUGAAUGAAGUGAAAGUUGCUCUGGAAGACCUGAGACAUGACCCAGAGGGAUCUGUGUGCAUCUAUGCGGCCCAGGCCCAGGACCACAUCCUGGCCAGCGGUAGGCAGAACUCCUGGCCGCCGCUGCCAUGUGGGGACUCGCUGGUGAGUGGCCCGGC
rnacentral:lncRNA from 1 species